rnacentral:rRNA from 1 species
CGAACGCUGGCGGCAUGCCUAAUACAUGCAAGUCGAACGCUUUUGUUUCACCGGGUGCUUGCACCCAUCGAAACAAAAGAGUGGCGGACGGGUGAGUAACACGUGGGUAACCUGCCCAUAAGAGGGGGAUAACAUCCGGAAACGGAUGCUAAUACCGCACAUUUCCAAUUGUCUCCUGACAGAUGGAAAAAAGGUGGCUUCGGCUACCGCUUAUGGAUGGACCCGCGGCGUAUUAGCUAGUUGGUGAGGUAAUGGCUCACCAAGGCGAUGAUACGUAGCCGACCUGAGAGGGUGAUCGGCCACACUGGGACUGAGACACGGCCCAGACUCCUACGGGAGGCAGCAGUAGGGAAUCUUCCGCAAUGGACGAAAGUCUGACGGAGCAAUGCCGCGUGAGUGAAGAAGGUUUUCGGAUCGUAAAACUCUGUUGUUAGAGAAGAACAAGGAUGAGAGUAACUGCUCAUCCCCUGACGGUAUCUAACCAGAAAGCCACGGCUA